rnacentral:rRNA from 2 species
UUAAGUUAUUAAGGGCGCACGGUGGAUGCCUUGGCACUAGAAGCCGAUGAAGGACGUUACUAACGACGAUAUGCUUUGGGGAGCUGUAAGUAAGCUUUGAUCCAGAGAUUUCCGAAUGGGGAAACCCAACAUGAGUUAUGUCAUGUUAUCGAUAUGUGAAUACAUAGCAUAUCAGAAGGCACACCCGGAGAACUGAAACAUCUUAGUACCCGGAGGAAGAGAAAGAAAAUUCGAUUCCCUUAGUAGCGGCGAGCGAAACGGGAAGAGCCCAAACCAACAAGCUUGCUUGUUGGGGUUGUAGGACACUCUAUACGGAGUUACAAAGGACGACAUUAGACGAAUCAUCUGGAAAGAUGAAUCAAAGAAGGUAAUAAUCCUGUAGUCGAAAAUGUUGUCUCUCUUGAGUGGAUCCUGAGUACGACGGAGCACGUGAAAUUCCGUCGGAAUCUGGGAGGACCAUCUCCUAAGGCUAAAUACUCUCUAGUGACCGAUAGUGAACCAGUACCGUGAGGGAAAGGUGAAAAGCACCCCGGAAGGGGAGUGAAAUAGAACCUGAAACCGUGUGCUUACAAGUAGUCAGAGCCCGUUAAUGGGUGAUGGCGUGCCUUUUGUAGAAUGAACCGGCGAGUUACGAUUUGAUGCAAGGUUAAGCAGUAAAUGUGGAGCCGUAGCGAAAGCGAGUCUGAAUAGGGCGUUUAGUAUUUGGUCGUAGACCCGAAACCAGGUGAUCUACCCUUGGUCAGGUUGAAGUUCAGGUAACACUGAAUGGAGGACCGAACCGACUUACGUUGAAAAGUGAGCGGAUGAACUGAGGGUAGCGGAGAAAUUCCAAUCGAACCUGGAGAUAGCUGGUUCUCUCCGAAAUAGCUUUAGGGCUAGCCUCAAGUGAUGAUUAUUGGAGGUAGAGCACUGUUUGGACGAGGGGCCCCUCUCGGGUUACCGAAUUCAGACAAACUCCGAAUGCCAAUUAAUUUAACUUGGGAGUCAGAACAUGGGUGAUAAGGUCCGUGUUCGAAAGGGAAACAGCCCAGACCACCAGCUAAGGUCCCAAAAUAUAUGUUAAGUGGAAAAGGAUGUGGCGUUGCCCAGACAACUAGGAUGUUGGCUUAGAAGCAGCCAUCAUUUAAAGAGUGCGUAAUAGCUCACUAGUCGAGUGACACUGCGCCGAAAAUGUACCGGGGCUAAACAUAUUACCGAAGCUGUGGAUUGUCCUUUGGACAAUGGUAGGAGAGCGUUCUAAGGGCGUUGAAGCAUGAUCGUAAGGACAUGUGGAGCGCUUAGAAGUGAGAAUGCCGGUGUGAGUAGCGAAAGACGGGUGAGAAUCCCGUCCACCGAUUGACUAAGGUUUCCAGAGGAAGGCUCGUCCGCUCUGGGUUAGUCGGGUCCUAAGCUGAGGCCGACAGGCGUAGGCGAUGGAUAACAGGUUGAUAUUCCUGUACCACCUAUAAUCGUUUUAAUCGAUGGGGGGACGCAGUAGGAUAGGCGAAGCGUGCGAUUGGAUUGCACGUCUAAGCAGUAAGGCUGAGUAUUAGGCAAAUCCGGUACUCAUUAAGGCUGAGCUGUGAUGGGGAGAAGACAUUGUGUCUUCGAGUCGUUGAUUUCACACUGCCGAGAAAAGCCUCUAGAUAGAAAAUAGGUGCCCGUACCGCAAACCGACACAGGUAGUCAAGAUGAGAAUUCUAAGGUGAGCGAGCGAACUCUCGUUAAGGAACUCGGCAAAAUGACCCCGUAACUUCGGGAGAAGGGGUGCUCUUUAGGGUUAACGCCCAGAAGAGCCGCAGUGAAUAGGCCCAAGCGACUGUUUAUCAAAAACACAGGUCUCUGCUAAACCGUAAGGUGAUGUAUAGGGGCUGACGCCUGCCCGGUGCUGGAAGGUUAAGAGGAGUGGUUAGCUUCUGCGAAGCUACGAAUCGAAGCCCCAGUAAACGGCGGCCGUAACUAUAACGGUCCUAAGGUAGCGAAAUUCCUUGUCGGGUAAGUUCCGACCCGCACGAAAGGCGUAACGAUUUGGGCACUGUCUCAACGAGAGACUCGGUGAAAUCAUAGUACCUGUGAAGAUGCAGGUUACCCGCGACAGGACGGAAAGACCCCGUGGAGCUUUACUGUAGCCUGAUAUUGAAAUUCGGCACAGCUUGUACAGGAUAGGUAGGAGCCUUUGAAACGUGAGCGCUAGCUUACGUGGAGGCGCUGGUGGGAUACUACCCUAGCUGUGUUGGCUUUCUAACCCGCACCACUUAUCGUGGUGGGAGACAGUGUCAGGCGGGCAGUUUGACUGGGGCGGUCGCCUCCUAAAAGGUAACGGAGGCGCUCAAAGGUUCCCUCAGAAUGGUUGGAAAUCAUUCAUAGAGUGUAAAGGCAUAAGGGAGCUUGACUGCGAGACCUACAAGUCGAGCAGGGUCGAAAGACGGACUUAGUGAUCCGGUGGUUCCGCAUGGAAGGGCCAUCGCUCAACGGAUAAAAGCUACCCCGGGGAUAACAGGCUUAUCUCCCCCAAGAGUUCACAUCGACGGGGAGGUUUGGCACCUCGAUGUCGGCUCAUCGCAUCCUGGGGCUGUAGUCGGUCCCAAGGGUUGGGCUGUUCGCCCAUUAAAGCGGUACGCGAGCUGGGUUCAGAACGUCGUGAGACAGUUCGGUCCCUAUCCGUCGUGGGCGUAGGAAAUUUGAGAGGAGCUGUCCUUAGUACGAGAGGACCGGGAUGGACAUACCUCUGGUGUACCAGUUGUCGUGCCAACGGCAUAGCUGGGUAGCUAUGUGUGGACGGGAUAAGUGCUGAAAGCAUCUAAGCAUGAAGCCCCCCUCAAGAUGAGAUUUCCCAACUUCGGUUAUAAGAUCCCUCAAAGAUGAUGAGGUUAAUAGGUUCGAGGUGGAAGCAUGGUGACAUGUGGAGCUGACGAAUACUAAUCGAUCGAAGACUUAAUCAA